rnacentral:rRNA from 1 species
UGCUUCAUACAUGCAAGUCGAACGAUGGUAGCAAUACCUAGUGGCGGACGGGUGAGUAACGCGUGGGAAUCUGCCUUAAAAUGGGGGAUAGCUGGCCGAAAGGCUAAUUAAUACCGCAUACGCGUAUAUCUCGACAGAGUUAUACGUAAAAGGAGUAAUCCGUUUUAAGAUGAGCCCGCGUCCGAUUAGCUAGUUGGUAGGGUAAUAGCCUACCAAGGCGACGAUCGGUAGGUGGUCUGAGAGGAUGAUCACCCACAAUGGAACUGAGACACGGUCCAUACUCCUACGGGAGGCAGCAGUAGGGAAUUUUACGCAAUGGGCGAAAGCCUGACGUAGCGACACCGCGUGAGCGAAGAAGCCCUUUGGGGUGUAAAGCUCUGUCAGCUGGAACGAAAAAAAUGACGGUACCAGCAGAGGAAGCAUCGGCUAACUACGUGCCAGCAGCCGCGGUAAGACGUAGGAUGCAAGCGUUGUCCGGAUUUAUUGGGCGUAAAGAGUUCGUAGGCGGUUUGUUAAGUCCGAUGUUAAAGAUCAGGGCCCAACCCUGGGAGUGCAUUGGAUACUGGCAGACUGGAGUGUGGUAGAGGUAAGUGGAAUUCCUGGUGUAGCGGUG